UACGUAGGGGGCAAGCGUUGUCCGGAUUCAUUGGGCGUAAAGAGCGUGUAGGCGGCCAGGUAGGUCGGUUGUGAAAACUGGAGGCUCAACCUUCAGAGGUCGACCGAAACCAUCUGGCUAGAGUCCGGGAGAGGAGAGUGGAAUUCCUGGUGUAGCGGUGAAAUGCGCAGACUAUCAGGAAGAACACCCGUGGCGAAAGCGGCUCUCUGGAACGGUACUGACGCUGAGACGCGAAAGCGUGGGGAGCGAACAGG
rnacentral:rRNA from 1 species